rnacentral:rRNA from 1 species
GGGUGGGAUGAGUAUUCUAAGGCGCGUGGAAGAACUCUCUUUAAGGAACUCUGCAAAAUAGCACCGUAUCUUCGGUAUAAGGUGUGGUUAGCUUUGUAUUAGGAUUUACUCCGAAAGCAAGGAAACUUACAACAAAGAGUCCCUCCCGACUGUUUACCAAAAACACAGCACUCUGCUAACUCGUAAGAGGAUGUAUAGGGUGUGACGCCUGCCCGGUGCUCGAAGGUUAAUUGAUGGGGUUAGCAUUAGCGAAGCUCUUGAUCGAAGCCCGAGUAAACGGCGGCCGUAACUAUAACGGUCCUAAGGUAGCGAAAUUCCUUGUCGGUUAAAUACCGACCUGCAUGAAUGGCGUAACGAGAUGGGAGCUGUCUCAAAGAGGGAGCCAGUGAAAUUGUAGUGGAGGUGAAAAUUCCUCCUACCCGCGGCAAGACGGAAAGACCCCGUGGACCUUUACUACAGGUUGACACUGCUACUUGGAUAAGAAUGUGCAUGAUAGGUGGGAGGCUUUG